rnacentral:rRNA from 1 species
AAGGCUAAUCAAGCCUGGUGAUAGCUGGUUCUCCCCGAAAGCUAUUUAGGUAGCGCCUCGGACGAAUACCAUAGGGGGUAGAGCACUGUUUCGGCUAGGGGGUCAUCCCGACUUACCAAACCGAUGCAAACUCCGAAUACCUAUGAGUACUAUCCGGGAGACAGACUGCGGGUGCUAACGUCCGUAGUCAAGAGGAAAACAAUCCAGACCGCCAGCUAAGGCCCCAAAAUCAUAGUUAAGUGGGAAACGAUGUGGGAAGGCAUAGACAGCUAGGAGGUUGGCUUAGAAGCAGCCACCCUUUAAAGAAAGCGUAAUAGCUCACUAGUCGAGUCGGCCUGCGCGGAAGAUGUAACGGGGCUAAAACUAUGUGCCGAAGCUGCGGAUGUAUACUUUGUAUACGUGGUAGGGGAGCGUUCUGUAAGCCGAUGAAGGUGUGUUGAGAAGCAUGCUGGAGGUAUCAGAAGUGCGAAUGCUGACGUGAGUAACGACAAAACGGGUGAAAAACCCGUUCGCCGAAAGACCAAGGGUUCCAGUCCAACGUUAAUCGGGGCUGGGUGAGUCGACCCCUAAGGCGAGGCCGAAAGGCGUAGUCGAUGGGAAAAUGGUUAAUAUUCCAUUACUUCUGUGUAAUGCGAUGAGAGGACGGAGAAGGCUAAAUCAGCCUGGCGUUGGUUGUCCAGGUGAAAGGAUGUAGGCAUGUAUCUUAGGCAAAUCCGGGGUACUCUAUGCUGAGAUCUGAUAGCAAGCUGUACUUGUACAGCGAAGUGGUUGAUGCCAUGCUUCCAGGAAAAGUCUCUAAGCUUCAGUUACACAGGAAUCGUACCCGAAACCGACACAGGUGGUCAGGUCGAGUAGACCAAGGCGCUUGAGAGAACUCUGCUGAAGGAACUAGGCAAAAUGGUACCGUAACUUCGGGAGAAGGUACGCUGUUGUUGGUGAUGGAACUCGCUUCCUGAGCUGACGACAGCCGCAGAAACCAGGCCGCUGCAACUGUUUAUUAAAAACAUAGCACUCUGCAAACACGAAAGUGGACGUAUAGGGUGUGAUGCCUGCCCGGUGCUGGAAGGUUAAUUGAUGGGGUUAGCGUAAGCGAAGCUCUUGAUCGAAGCCCCAGUAAACGGCGGCCGUAACUAUAACGGUCCUAAGGUAGCGAAAUUCCUUGUCGGGUAAGUUCCGACCUGCACGAAUGGCAUAAUGAUGGCGGCGCUGUCUCCAGCAGAGGCUCAGUGAAAUCGAAAUCGCUGUGAAGAUGCAGUGUACCCGCGGCUAGACGGAAAGACCCCGUGAACCUUUACUGCAGCUUGACACUGAACUUUGACCUUACUUGUGUAGGAUAGGUGGGAGGCUUUGAAGCUGGAACGCUAGUUCCAGUGGAGCCGUCCUUGAAAUACCACCCUGGUAAUGUUGAGGUUCUAACUCUGUCCCGUGAUCCGGGACGAGGACCGUGUCUGGUGGGUAGUUUGACUGGGGCGGUCUCCUCCUAAAGAGUAACGGAGGAGUACGAAGGUGCGCUCAGCGUGGUCGGAAAUCACGCGUAGAGUAUAAAGGCAAAAGCGCGCUUAACUGCGAGACCCACAAGUCGAGCAGGUACGAAAGUAGGUCUUAGUGAUCCGGUGGUUCUGUAUGGAAGGGCCAUCGCUCAACGGAUAAAAGGUACUCUGGGGAUAACAGGCUGAUACCGCCCAAGAGUUCAUAUCGACGGCGGUGUUUGGCACCUCGAUGUCGGCUCAUCUCAUCCUGGGGCUGAAGCAGGUCCCAAGGGGAUGGCUGUUCGCCAUUUAAAGAGGUACGCGAGCUGGGUUUAGAACGUCGUGAGACAGUUCGGUCCCUAUCUACCGUGGGCGCUGGAAAUUUGAGAGGAUCUGCUCCUAGUACGAGAGGACCAGAGUGGACGAACCUCUGGUGUACCGGUUGUGACGCCAGUCGCAUCGCCGGGUAGCUAUGUUCGGAAGGGAUAACCGCUGAAAGCAUCUAAGCGGGAAGCCUACCUCAAGAUAAGAUUUCCCUAGGACUUUAUGUCCUCUAAAGAGCCGUUCGAGACUAGGACGUUGAUAGGUUGGAUGUGGAAGCAUAGUGAUAUGUGAAGCUGACCAAUACUAAUUGCUCGUGAGGCUUGACUAU